UUUCUCACCAGGAACGAAUUUUAGUGGAGAUGGGUCUAAUGUCCCCUCAUGCAGUCAGACAGACACGAACGAAAAACAGUGGUCCUAAUUAGCUACGGGUGGUCUUCUAUCCAGGUGAACAGAGGGCUUGUGGGCACGGGUCUGUCGCCUAGAGGAGAUGACAGGUGUUGGGAAGGACAUAAACACACAGCCCCAAGCGGUGCUUUAGGUUUGCCACAGGCGUGUUGGCUCUUCCCCUUGAGGCUGCCAAGAGGCGCAUAUAUGAGGUGGCCAGUCUGCGUCUAUCUAGCUGCUUUUAAAAAAUAAAAGGAACUUUAAGCAUGUUGCCAUUUCUUCUACAUAGUCCAAUAAAAAUGUGUCUACAAAUCAUUACAAAACCACCUUUUCGGCAACGUAUAGUUCACUGAGAUUACUUAGGCCUGGAUACCUUGUGAGAUACUAUCCAGUAAAGAGAAUACAUUAACACGAUAAUGCAGUAUAUUUCAGUAAAAAUAGAAUAAAUAAAAUAAAAAUAUCUUAAGCUGUAUUUAACAGGUUAAUUAAAAAAAUGAUAAGACAUACAAGGCAUAGUGAACAUGGCUGCCUGUUUACCGAGUCACAGAUACAAAGAAUGCAUAGAUAACUGAAUGUCACCACAAUAUCAGGUAAAACACCGGCAUCCGCACACAGGAAAAUACACACAUACUUUCAUACAUACUUUUUGGCCAUGGCAGAAAGUGUCUGAACGUACUGUUUAACAUAAUCAAUUUUACAAAAUUAAUUGCAUUUAGUAUGCAAAGCUAUUUUCAAAACAAAAUAUCUGCAGUAAAGUUUUCAAUAUGUAAAGGCUAUCGUUCGUCUUAAUGCAUCCUAUAAUUGCAUAUAUAAAUCAGUUUGCUACUUAAAGCUAGCUCAGUAUUCUUGAUCCUGAAAACAAACAAAUGUAUGCCUUAGAAAAUGAACGGUGGGUUCGGGUAGAGAUUUCCAAUAUAAAAGUGGAUGACCUGUUCAGAAUUUUUAUCACACUAAAACCUUUCAUUGUGGAGUUCGAGAUGAAACAUCAUCACGAUUGAAUUUUGAACAGCUUUUCAAAGGGCACAGUAAGGACUUUCUUAAUGCAAUAAUUUCUUAUGAUGGCACUGGUUACUUCAGAUAGAAUAGCAUAUAGGCUGGUGAGAAGUAGAAUUCAUUUCUAGAGUGGCAUCAUUUUGGUCAUAACACCAGGGUGCUAGCAAACAGUUCCAGAGUUCUGAGGGAAUAGCAGAAGGCCACCUGCUCCAUCGUGUUCUCUGGUGGCUAAGUACCAUGAGUUAGGAAUGUGUCUAUCACAAGGUAACAUCAUCUCUGGAAAACCUUGUAAGUUGAACAGGUCGCACAGCGUGUAGAAUCCUGUCCUCUACAACACAUUUGAGGCACACUGCAGGAAAACAGUCCUGGACUGAGAGAGGGCGAUGGUUUUAUGAUUAAUAUCACUGCGUGAGUAAUUGGGACAUAUUUCCCGCCUUCUACAGGGAAUUCUAAGAUUUCCUGACAAUAACUAGAUAUGCCCAGAGUAAUUUUGGAAAGACUCUUCCUCACCGAUGUAAAAGGAGCGUAACUUAUAACAGAGUUGGGAAGCGUGGGCUUUUGUCCCGGCUCUCUCACAAACUUUCGAGAGAUCUUAGGCAAGGUGAUUGAGCCUCUUGGUACUUUAUAUUUUUAUUUCUCAAAUGUGUUUAGUACCUUUCCCUACCUUGUAAGGCUCAAAUGUGAUAAGAAUGUGGAAACCAUUGACAAGUACACAGCAGUGGGUAAAUAAAGUGCUCCUUUUAAAACCGGAUGUUCUUAACGCAUUGAUUUUGACAUUAAGAAGCAAAUAAGACUAAUAUUUAGAUUGGUCUCCUUAGCAACUUCCUUUUAAAACAACAAUGUCAACAAGAGUCUAAAUCUGAGUAUCUUUGUAAGUACGUGAGAAACGUGAAGCAGGAAACUGCUAUUUUGGGGAAACUUGUUAAUAAGCAGUCCGUUGUUGCUAUGUUUAUUUUGCUCUGAUAUGAAAUUUUUAAAUCUUGAAAAAAUGGAAAAGAUAUAAAUUUAAAAAUAUAUCUAGUAAAGUCCAACAAAUCCCAAUAUUAAAUACAUAAAUUCAAAAGGUUCAAAUUUAAUGUAAUUUGUUGCCAUGGACAAUACAUGAUGGACAGACAGCUUUCUGGGCAAAAAGCAUUAAGGUAAGACUGAGCUAGAUACAGAAUCCUAGUGGGUUUCACUAGGAGGCGGACUAACAAAAUAAUGUGGUGGUGGAGAUCCAAAAUAUAAAUGACAUUUCCUCAACUCCAAAUUGCAUAUUGGCUAAUUAACAAACUAAGGAUAAAAGGCGUACGAGGAAGAUUUCAUUUUAAUGUUUAUGUAGAGAAUGGCCAGAGUGAACUAUAAUUCUCUAGCUGCAUUGUACAAUAUAAGGCAGAAGUUUGAAACAUGUCCUACCCGAAAUGCAUUAGGAUUUUCUUAAAUCUUUCUUGUUUUUAAUAAUCAGUUUGAAAACCAUCUAGAAAGAAAGGCUCUUUUUUGUUCAAUUUUAAUUUCUCAAAUUUGGUUUGUUUUUCAAUUUUCAAGUUUCACUUUUUCCCCAACAUCCCACAAAACAGCUGCAGACAUGAAAUGGUGUCCAUGUGUCAAAGGGCUUGUCAAGGAAAGCUGCCGGUUGGUUUCUGUACUGAUGCCAACAGCCAAUUCUGUCAACCCAAAGGUUCAAUUUCAUGAAAGACUGCAACAAAAACCCAUCAUCCUAGUUUUACAGCAAUUCAAUGGUAUCUGGUACGCAGUGGCUACUCCAAUGUUGGCAACAGGGCCAAGUGCUGCAGGACUUAAACAUUGCUUGUGACAGAUCCAGUCAAGAAGACAGUGAAACUCAGGCGUCAUUCACUCCAAGGACUCAGCGUUAGUUCACUAGGAGGGGUGUGGCCACAUUCUUCUCCGUGUGUGUGAAGUUAAUGUUCACGAUAUUUACAAUAAGAAAAAGACCUUCCACUGCUCAUGAUGUAUCUUACUGAUAGCAAAAAAAAUUAGUCAUGCUUCUUUUCAUAUCACAUGAUGGUGGCAAGACGAGAGAACAUGCUUGUCUAACACUGUUUGGUUAAGGAUAAAUUCUCUGAAGACAAAGCAUCAGCAACUGAAUGGAAGGCCAGAUAUCGUUCAUCUUCUUUAGUGUAGCUAUUCAAUCUUCAGGUAAAUAUUACAGAAUCCUGUAGCAUAUGCAGCUAUGGCGUUUCUGUGACAGGGCGUUUCUGUUUCAAAGUGUCAAUGAGGGAUAAGACCCCUCGUUUUACAUUGGUUGUGACUCUUCUGGUCACUGAGUCUGCUGGCGGAGGAGGUGGUCGAACUUUCUGUGAAGGCGGCCUGGCUACCAAGCACUUCUGGUAUCGUAACUGAAAUAAAACAAAAAUGUUUUAUGGUCAUUAAUGAUGUAUCAUCCUUUCUUGUUUAAUUUAUGAUUUGAUGACUUAAUGCAUCACCAAUACAUUUACUUGCAAAACUUAACGACCUAGCUCCUACGCAUUAAUCCAAGAGUUUUUUUUUUCCCCUUUUUAAAAAGUAUUUAUUUUGAGAGAAUGUGUGCAUGAGAGCACGGGAGGGGCAGAGAGGGAGAGAGAGAAUCCCAAGCAGACUUGCGCUGCCAGUGCAGAGCCCAACGCAGAGUUCCAUCUCAUGAACCAUGAGAUCGUGACCUGAGCUGAAAUCAAGGGUCGGACACUUAACCAACUGAGCCAUCCAGGGACCCUAAGUUUAUUCUGUUUCCUUAAUGUGGGUAUUUUAAGGGUUCUUAUGAUCAUUAGGCUCAGCAAAAGUGUUGUGGCUUUUGCCAUCCUUUUCUUCCACCCAUCUCCACCCUCUACUUGUUCUCUUUAUGGAUUGGCUGCAAUUAAUAUGCCAAACAGUCGAAGAGCUAAUGAAAAGGAAGAGGAUUGGGAGAGACAGUAUUAGGGUUUUGUCGGAGACACGUACAUCUUUGUACGUGAGGUAAGUGCUCAUGGCUACCUGGGAGACAACAUGGGAGAAAGGGCACAGUUUGAAUCUAGGUUCUACCAUUUAUGGGAACUGUGUGACCCAAGCAAGUUACUCAAUCUCUGAGCCUUAGUUUCUUCAAUGUAAAAUGGCAGAAGACUGGGACCUUUACAGAGGGUGUUAUGAUUAGGGAAUACUUGCAGCAUGCUGAAAACAGGCCUACCAAUGCAGGAGGCAUUCACAAAUGUUUGUUCCCCUUCCUGUUUCCUGCUUUAAUAAAAAAGAAUGAUGUAUAAAGAUUUUAGGGGCGCCUGGGUGGCUCAGUCGGUUAAGCGGCCGACUUCGGCUCAGGUCAUGAUCUCGCGGUCCGUGAGUUCGAGCCCCGCGUCGGGCUCUGUGCUGACAGCUCAGAGCGUAGAGCCUGUUUCAGAUUCUGUGUCUCCCUCUGUCUCUGACCCUCCCCUGUUCAUGCUCUCUCUCUCUCUCUCUGUCUCAAAAAUAAAUAAAUGUCAAAAAAAAAUUAAAAAAAAAAGAUUUUAGGAUACAUUUUAUCCGCGAGUCUAAAUCCUAAUGGAUUUAAAAAUUUUAAGUAAUCUCUACACCCCAUGUGGGGCUCGAACUCACAACCCCAAGAUCGAGAGUCACAUGCUCCAACGACUGAGCCAGCCAGGCACCCCUGAAUCCUAAUGGAUUUUAAAGUAUCCAUUAGCACUGUUGGCACCAUAGAUAGUUUCUCUCCUUCUGAAAUAUAACACAGUCCACCUAGUUUUCUAUUAAUGAAAAGUAAUUCUUCAAAAUUAGAUAAGGUUAAAAUUUACAAAGUAUGUUUUUUCCUAAUCUAAGCACUUUAAAAUAAUUCCAUGACUGAUUUUUAAAAAGCUACUUAAAUAUUAAUAGGUUCUUUGGUACAGUGUGAAACAGGUUGACGUUUCCCCAUGGGAAGCAUAAACUAUCCACAGCAGAACUCCGAGUCACAAAGCCCAAAGGCCACAGAACUAGCCCCUUCAACCCCAUCAUACGAGAAACGAUUUACCAAAUCUCCUCUGUGUAAGGCAUCUUGCCAGGUCUGCAACGCAACCCAAACCGCACACUUCCAAAGCACAGAUUUAUAAACGGGCAGGUGUGCAACACGGUACACUGGACCGGAAAUCUCUAACGUUAGGCAAGUCCAGUGUGAAUCAAAAUCGCACCUGAUGGGUUUCAUUACGGCUUCCUCUCUCAUUCUAAAUUUCACCAAAACAUCUUCAGCUGGGCCUAUGCCACUCAGCUGCAAAAUAUGCCUAAAAAUUAGGUGGAUUCAAAAGAAUGUGUUUACAAUACAGAUAUUUCAGGUGAUAGAAAUUCACGUGGAGAGAUUUCGGAUGGAGAAUCAUGCAGAUUUAAUUCAAGAGGAAAGCCAUGGAGUUAGAAAUGCUGGACUCUGAGCGUAAAGAAGAGGCCGAUGUCAUCAGCAUGACUCAUGCUGGAUUGGCUGAGCCACUUGAGCUGGCUGCCCUGUUAUAAUUAAAAUUAUAAGCACAUGAAUAAAAAUUGUUCCUAAGACAGAAAAUAAGUCUGGGAAUCAGACAACAAACCAUAACCAGUGAUAAAGCUAAUUAUUUAAUUGUCACCAGCAUUUAAAAUGUACAAUUACGGCUGACAGCCAUUCAUUUUAUGACUAAAACCAUCUGUUAUGAUCCCUUUUCAAUUUCAGGAAAUAACUAAAUAGUCAUCCUCCAUUUUUGCUUGACUGAAUGCUUUCAUUUUCUAUUGUCCCCUUCAUCCCAUCUCGGGCUCUUGUGCUGGGUCAGAGAUUCGUCGUGACUCCUCCACCAGCUCUGCCCCCACCACCCCCACCCUGCCCCUUCACAUGCAGGCAGAUCUGAAUUAGCAUCUGGCUCCGCAGUACUUGAGGGGAAAAUGCCCCUCUGACAAAGGACUGUGGGAAGAAGGAUGCCAGAUCAUGAGCACACAGCACUAGCUCUUACCCUCCCUCUUCCCUCCGUCCGUCUCCAUUCAAAGGUGCCUUUUAAGGGAAAAGUCAGCAGACUCCCUCUCCUCGUGACUCAUCAUUGCCAACUACAGCCCGCCUCAUCCUUUCCCUUCAUUCUUAACCUCAGUGAUGUACUGUAUGUAGAAAAACAGAGAACUCUCCCAGCCUCCAUGCCACCUGUCACUCUUGGAUUCUUAGCAUCUGACUAGUCUCAAAGUCACUGCGACCCAAUCAGGAGGCUAAACCCCAACCCUAGGUUCUUAAUCUACCACCAAGACCUCGCCCCAACUCUUUAUAUGACCCUCAUUUCAAUCCACCUUCACCAGCUCAUUUCCCUCAGCCGAAAAAAUGUGCAAAUCUCCCCCCGCCCCACCCAUCAUACAACAAGCAGCAAACCCCCUUACUGUUGCGCUACCCCUUUCCUGUCAGACUUUGGUCUAUUUUAAGGCCUCCACUUCUUUUUUCUCCAGGUCACUUUUCAGUCUAGUGUGGUCUUAUACUUCUAGUUAGAGCAUCUUUUACACUGCAACAGAAUUUUGGCUUAUGUGUCUCCUCAUAUACUUAAGCUCUGUAACGUAAGGCUCAUCUCUCAGCCCUACUGGAACUUCCCAGAGUCCAGCCCACAAAUGGUGGAUUGAAUUAAAUGAAGAACAGGUGCUUCAAGUUCACCAUUCCGCAUCCCCAGCCAGGCAAUUCUCUACAACAUCCCAAGUCAUCUACUCCUGCUUGUUCUCCUGGUUUAGACCCUCUGACACCCUCAUGUGACCAGUAAAAUGGCUUCUUGGCUGAUCUCUCCACCUCAACCUUAUCCUCUCAACCCAUCCUCUAACUUUGGUGGGUUUUGUUUUUGUUUUGAGUUUGCUUUUAAAACCUAAUACCAAUUCAUCUCUCUUGCUUAAUAAUCUUUGCUGAAGAUAAACAUGUUGCCGUGAUAUCACAGGCUUUUUAUCAUACAGACCUGACCUCCUUUACUUGACUCCAGCAACCGAACCUGCUGUUGCUAAGAAUCACCAUCCACCUCAGGUUUCGGUGCCUACAUUCAUACUGUUCCCUCAAAUUUUCUAGAACAUUUUCAGCGUCCAGCACAAUAGGUGCUCAAAGGAUAUUUGCAGAAUGAAUGAUGAGGUGUUUUUGUUUGAUAUACAUGGUGCAAAGAGAACUGGCUGUGUCACCUCAAAAACUCGGGGUUGCGGGGCACCUACUUGGCCCAGUUGGUUGAGCGUCCGACUUGGGCUCAGGUCAUGAUCUCCCAGUUGGUGUGUUCGAGCCCCACUUCGGGCUCUGUGCUGACAGCUCAGAGCCUGGAGCCUACUUUGGAUUCUGUGUCUCCCUCUCUCUCUGCCCUUCCCUGCUUGCACUCUUUCUCUCAAAAAUAAAUAAACAUUAAAAAACAAACAAAAAAACCCCCAAAACUUGGGGUUGAACACAGGCUUUGUCUUGUCAACUCUGUGCCCUGAGGCCCGCUCUUUCUUCUGAGCCUCUGUUCUGUCAUAAAGAAAACAGAACAACUACCUUACAAAUGGCUGUUUUAAGGAUUAAGUUCACAGAUAUAAAUUAAAUAAAAUAUGUAAGAAUGGUGGGCUUAAACCAACUAUCUGAAAUAAAAAUCAUUCAAUACACUGCAAUUUUUUUAAGUACCAAGUUCGUUCUAAAUAGCACCAAUUCAUACAUGACCAACAUUUCCUGAUCACCUAUUGAAAUUAAUUAGAGAUCAAGAAUUAAGAAUUUGUGGUUUUGAAGAUCACUGCUUUCAGUGAUACUGGAAAUCUCCACAGAACGUCGCUCCGCCCAGUCCCGCUUCUUGUAGGCGUCCUGGCCUCUUGAGAUGGUAAACCGCUCAUCGUGACUGUGUCCACAGGAAUGAGGGUGUUAUACAGCAAAACAUCACUUUAGAGAUUAGACAUAUUUUCCUUUAUAUUAAUAACUCUGUGCUAAUUUACCGCAUACGAGACAAGAGCAGUGGUGUGGGAGGUCCAACAGCUCCCUGGCGUGUGACUACUCACCAUGCAGGCGGCCUGUACCGCCUCAGACACGUUACCCGCAUUAGGCUCGCACCAGAAAACGUGGCACUCGAAACGCUGGUUCCCGGUGUCCAUGAUGAAGGCAAAUGUAUGAACAUCUUUCCCGACGCCCAUGAAGGACAGGAAUCGCACGCGGCACUCCACUAAGAUUUCCUCUUCAUUCUGCAAGACACAUUGGUCAGCGCCCACUCUCUCUGUGAAGCCAGGCAAGAGUUAUAAAAUAAACAUAUUCACUUCUUAGAUCAUAGAAUCAAGACUGGAGUGGCUGUGUAGAGACACUGGUGUUAAAAAUACAUAGCUCGACUGGAUUUAGAAAGGACUGUUUUCCUAGAAAGGCGAGUUUCUAAAUACGUCCGCAGCAGCCAUCAUUGCUAUGUGGGCGUCUCACUGACAUUUAAUCCCGCUCUGAGCUACACUCUCCGUGGCAGGCGUGUUCUGUUGCUGUCGGUCCUCUAGGCUCCAAGCCUGCGUGUUCACUGUGGGUAGGAACCCUGCCAUGUUUACUAUACUUCUUUGGUUUUGCCCAUACAGGGCACCCAGUGGCUCAAAACCCAUUUGCCCAAGUGAACCCGCUGGAAACCUCAGAGCAACCAGGAGAAAAGGAGCCAUGGGAUGGCUUUCCAUCCAGUUCUCCUUCCCAUGCUAAAUACCACGUGGAAUCAUAUUUCUAUCUAAAACUGUGUCCGAAAGCUGCCAAAUCACUUUGUUCCCCACAAACCGGUCCCCAUAUGGUACCCAUAUGAUGCAGUGUAAAGAAAUGUUCGGAAUUCAUUCUUACGAACACCACAUCCUUUGCAACAACCAUAUGUAGUUUGUGAAUUAGUAAACACAUCCAGAAUGUUGACUUCUGGAUCAUUAACAUCUUGACUUACUAAAUAUUCACUCAGGUGCUAUGGAAUUCCUUAACAGGCAAAGGAAACUAGCCUGAGACGCCAUGAAGUUUUCUUGGGAGAGACGAUGUUUAGGUUGAGAUCCCGGUAAAUGUUGGGUAGGCAAAGGCGUGGAGCACAGAAGUGCUUGUAGAUGCUGAGUCAGAAAAGGCUAUGACAUGUUUCAAGACUUAAGGAAAUCCAGCCUGGCAGGCUGGAGAGGCAGGCAGGGUCAGUGAGCAUCUUACUCCUAACUCCUUUUGAGAAGGUGAAUUGGGCUUGAAGGUGACCUCCUAGUGGACAGAAUCAGGAGCAGGCCAACAACCUGCGGUCUUUCCGUGGCAGGUGCUUCACAGUGGUGGAACUGAAAAGUGGUAAAGAGUCUGGAGCAGACUGCCUGGAUCAAGUCCUGAGCUUGCCACUUCUAGCUGUUGUGACCACGGGCAGUUAUUUAACCUCGCCGUGCCUCAGUUUCAUCAACCAUAAAAUUGGGAUAAUUUGGUUCGAGGCUAACGCUGGCCUCUCUGGAUGACCACCGGCCUCUGCUACUAUUGACAGAACAAACCAAAGACCCUCCACGACAGAAGCAUCUCCUGUGCCCCAACUCCAGACAAAUAGCCCAGGUAAUCCUGAAGCCUGGAGAGCAGCCAAAAAACCACUCCCCGUAAUGAGUUACUGCUAGCGUCAUAGUUACCUCUGGCAAAUGAUUUUAAUCUCUUGGGCCCAUGAGGAAGAAAGAAUGGGGAACACCAGGACAGGAGCUUCUUGGUUCAGGGGAGAGCAAAGUUAUGCAGAGAUCCAGAUACAAAGGACAAAAAGCUGUUUUAUAAAUGCAGGCUAUUUUAAUUACAAGUAAGCAUAACUCCCUGGAGGUGAAGCCUUGGCUAUGUGUCUAAGUUUCAUGGAAGAUUACUGUAUCCAGAGUUUCACUGUAACCCAGACAGGCCAACUGCAUCUACGAUCCUUCUUACCUUUUCACUGAUGACAGUCACAGUAGCAUCGGCCACAUUCAUGUUCACUGACGGCCAAUCCUCCUUGUUAGAUGAGGUCAUAAGACUUUCUAUGGCAUUGUUCAGGGUAUCCAUUCCUGUGGAUGGAACAGAUAAUUGAAAAAGGUCCUAAAGCCACUUAUCACUCUCCAAUGUGGGCCCAAAUCACCCAGUAACAGCUACACCCAAAGUGAUCUUUUUUUUUUUUAAAUAGUUCCAGGAGACAUUCUAUUUGAGCAUUUCAUUGCUUGGGGGGGAAAAAAAAGCCAGCUUUUUCAAUAGAAAGGAGGGUCAUGAGAGCCUCCACAGAUGUGCAGUGUGUGAUGUCCUGUCUAACUGGACCAUGGUACUACUUUCUCUCCAAAGAUUCCCCAGCCCCAAGUAUAUAAAUAACACUGAAGCAAAUGCUACCUUUUCCUAAGCAAGGAGGCUGGGAAAAAGGAACUGAACAGAAGCCAGCAACUGCCAGAAUACUCCGAUCUUCCUCCACCUUACUCUGCUACUUGAACAAGGCCAAGUUUGGAAGGCCCUGUACGUGAAUAGAAUGCACUAUACCAGGGGGCCCUUUCGCUGAGUGUUCCCACACCCGUUUUUUUGUGGCAAUGUGAGGGGGUAGGUCAGAUAACAACUUUGAGAUAUAAUUCAUCUAUAAUUCACUCAAAGUGUACAAUGCACUAGUUUUUAGUAAAUUCACAGAGGUGUGUAAUCAUCACCACAAUGAAUUUUAGAACAUGUUCAUUUCCUCAAAAAGGAACCCUGUACAUUUUUGGGGUCACCAUCCAUUUCUUUCCAGCCCCCUAGUUCUAGGCAAUUACUUACUUAAUUUAAUUUCUAUCCCAAGAGAUUUGUCUCUUCUGGACAUUUCAUAUACAUGGAAUCACACAGUAUGUGUGAUUUGUAACUGGCUUCUUUCAUUUAGCAUAUGGUCUUCGUGGUUCAUCCACGUUGUAGCAUUUAUCAGUACUUCAUUCCUUUUUUUUUUUUUAAGUACUUCAUUCCUUUUUUUUUAGUACUUCAUUCCUUUUUUAUUUAUUUAUUUAUUUAUUUUAGUACUUCAUUCCUUUUUACUGCCAAAUAAAAUUCCACUGUAUGGUAGCAUCACAUCUCAUGAAUCCAUUUGUAGUUGAGGGACAUUUGUUUCUACUUUGUGACUAUUACGAAUGCUGCUACUGUGAAUGUGUGUGUGGACAGAUGUUUUCAUUUCACUUGGGUAUGUGCCCAGGAGCAGAACUGCUGAGUCAAAUGGUAACUCUGUGAACUCUGGAGGAAGUGCCAGACGUUUUCCCAAGUGGCUGUACCACCUUACUUCCCCCCCCCCGAGCAGUGCAUGAGGGUUCAGGUUUCUCCACAGCUUUUUCCGCCCAGGAAAAGGGCACAUCUCCCCGCCUCCUUUCAGCUCGGUAUGGCUAAGCAACGAAGUUCUGCCCCCGGGGUGGGAGCUGACUGCCGUGUGUGCUGCUCUUGGAUCACACCUUGGAAGGAAAAGCAUGAGGGCUCCCUCAGCCCUUUCUCCCCGCCCAGGGGCCAAUGAGGACUGAAGCAGAGAUGGCCCCAGGGAUGGAAGGCCCACUUGAGAAGGGCAGAGCCCUGGCUCAUGCAUCUCUGGCCUGCUGGGUGCACCAGAACUAUGUGUCUGCCUUGUUGAAGUCCUUGUAUUCUGGGGACCACAUGACGAGCAGCUUAUUAGCCUGCCCUCUUUUGCUUUUUUGAUUGGGACUGUUCAUGUGCUGUGGCUGGUGACAGUGCAAGGGCCUAAUUCAAGCCUAGGAAAGGGAGCAGAACAGUAGAUCGCACCCGUUGGGGAGGGUGGACACCUCCCCCAAGCUCCCGAACACUUGCACAGUGAAAGGACAUAAAUGUUUCACAUACCGACGGGUUUGUCUACGGGUAACAUGCCCAAGUACUGCACGUGGAACUUCUGGACCAGCUCAGUCUUUGGUGUUGGAAAAUCUACUACAGGGAACAAAAGCAACAGAUCUUUGUCAGUGGUUCCAAUGUACACAUAAAACACAGCCACCACCUGUGCCACAACAGCCUGUCUCUAGAGGGAGAAGCGGCGCACCUGCUCUGGGAGAACAGCGGGUCUUCCGCCACACACAGGGGCUCUGUCAAUCAAAACCCCAUUCAACUUUGGUUUCCCAGCAGGGAAGCAGGAACAGUUAGUUCUUGGUGUCUUAAAGCUGCUACUGUCCUUUUCAUGCUAAAUAACAGUUGUUGAUGUCCUAUUUGUUAGGUGGUUGAUGCCCAGAGAGAAUUUACUCACAAGGGGCACAGAGACAGGAAAAAUAACUAAACAGAAUCCCCCCAAAUAUCAAUAUAUAUUUUUUUAUUUUAUUGAGGUAUAAUUGACACACAACAUUAUGUUAGUUUCAGGUGUCUAACACAGUAACUUGAUACUUGUAUACAUUGCAAAACCAUUACCAUAAGUCUACUUAACAUUCAUCAUCACAGUUACAAAAAAAUUUUUUUUCACAUCAACCCACAUAUUUUUAAGCUAGCUGGUUCUUAUCCCAGGCUGUACAGGAGUUAUAAAAUCACUAAAGACAAUAUUCUUUUUUUUUUUUUUUAAUUUUUUUUUUUUAACGUUUAUUUAUUUUUGAGACAGAGAGAGACAGAGCAUGAACGGGGGAGGGGCAGAGAGAGAGAGGAAGACACAGAAUCUGAAACAGGCUCCAGGCUCUGAGUGGUCAGCACAGAGCCUGACGCGGGGCUCGAACUCACAGACCGUGAGAUCAUGACCUGAGCCAAAGUCGGACGCUCAGCCGACUGAGCCACCCAGGCGCCCCAAGACAAUGUUCUUUAAUCUUGUCCUUUUUUGUAGCAAUGAAACUCAUCCUGGCCUUUUGUGCCUAAUCCUAUUGACACAAAAUGAACUCUGCGCACAGGAGGCUCCCUGGGGCUGGUUCAGUGUGUGUUUGUUGGGUUGAGCACGGUUUUUAAGGAGACUAGAAACGGCCGGGAGCCCUGUGAGACCUUCUGGCUCUUGGCUAGGAUGGACAGCACCAUCGUGAAGACAGCAGAUGCAUUGACCUACCUUGCAAGGGAACGUCGAGAUUCACAUUGGUUCUUUCCUGUAAGGAACUGCAGGCCAGGGCUUUGGCAUUCUUCCGUUCGGCCAUAAUCUGAAGGAGGGAAAAACACACUGUGGUUUGUGGUUACAGACGCCCUGCCUGCAGCUAUUCCAGCCAGUAAAGGGUCUGAGUGGACUUUGCUUCCAAGCUAAGCUGGCUUUACAUACAGUCUACUGCCUGACUUCCCACCCCCGUACUGCACACAUGGAGAACUGUGCUCAUUUUCCUCAGGGGUAACCGGUGAACGACUAGCCCUCAGAGCCCCCUGAUUGUUUGGAACUCAUUCCUCCACUCACCUGGCUCCUACCUCUAGUGAAACAACCCAAACAAAUAUCCUCUGCUGGCCCACUGAGGUCAGUGAGACAUGCACAGUAACGGACUUUUCCCACUGCUUCUGAAUGCUGGCUGUUAGGUACCCUCUUCUGGGCCCUGGGGAUAGCGAAUGAGUUCAAAUCCCACCUUCGCUACUUACUAGCUGUGUGAUCUUGGGCGAGUCACCUGACCUCUUGUGUCUCAUUUCCUCUUUGCAUGUUUAUGUCCCCAGUGAUAAGGUUAUGUCAGUUUUGUCAGUGCUCAGCAAUAUUAGCUGAUCGGGGUUGUUAUUCUUAAGCUGUUCAAUCUGCCAGCUGCCUACCACACUGGUUCUCUUCUGCUGGGGGCACUAACAUCUCCUUUACUGAAAAGUCAUCACUUCUCACUUCUGUUUACACAGUGCUGGUGUGGCUUAGGAGCCCAACCUUCGAUGACCCAAAAGGUGACUCACACCUUCAUUCCCAGCCCAAGCUUUCUGAAAAUUCCAGACAGAACGAAAGUCACUUCUUCUCCAGAGCUCCACUCCACCCUUGUCUCGGCCUGUGCCUGGGACAGCAGGCAAGGAGGCGGCUGAGUUUAACAACAUCAAAUUUUUACUGAGCACGUCCUCUGUGCCAGGCCGUGUUCUGGGGGCCUUACGCUCCCCAAGGACAAAGAUUUUUCUUUUCUGUUUUAGUCUCUGCUGUGUUCUUAGAACAGUCCCUGGCACGUAAAUAGUGUUCAGCAGUGCCUGUUGCAGAAAUGGAGGAAGAAAAUGGCACCUGGGGAGUGUGCUGUAAUGCUAUAACAGGUGCAGCCGGGCCCAGGCUUGUUGAUGCACCAGUGUGAAUCUGGGCUGGGAUAAACAGUGGUGUCAGGACCAGCACCCAUCCUGUAAGUCCUGGUCACCUGCAUCAGAGCAGCAGACUGGUCCCAGCUCCGACCCCCCCGCCCCCUGCCGAGGAAAUGUGGCUGGCACCUGCUUUGUCCCUGCUGCCCAGCAGUGGCUACAGCCUGGGCGUGGCUAGCUCAGAGGGGCUGUAAUGAGGCUGGGUCUUGACAUCCGCCUCAAACCAGAAAGGUGACGUCCAGCAGAGGUGACGGUGAGGUCUGGUGUUUAGAUUCAGUAAGUAAGUUUGGGGAGUAGAAAGGCCUGCCUGAAGGGCAUCUGUGACAGUGUCCUGGGGACCUGGCUAAUCACUAUCUGAACACAAGACGGCAGGUGAUAUGGUUGCUAAAAAUAUCAAUCACUCCAGUAUUGCAUCUUUGGAGGUCAAGGGACAGAGUGGCCCAUGGUCUUUUCUCUACUGGCUCACCCUUAGAACACUGUGUUCAUUCAGGGGGAACCAACUACAGUACGCUCAGAAGCGGGUGAGGGGCCUGGUAACCACGUGACCCAAAAGAGAUGGGGGUGGGGGUUCUGGAGAAAUGAGGGAGACAGGACAGAUACUUGUCCAGCACUUCUAAAUGUACAGGUACAGUUCACAGCUUCAAAUGUUUUAAGUAAUAAAGGGCUGCCCAGCAAACAGACAAGAUGGAGGCAUCUUUCCCUGUUGCUACAGAUUUCACAUCUCAAGUAAAUACGCGGAAGUUCUAGAGAAGAGGACUUCAGGUCUACACAAGAAAGAACUCUGUAACAGUCAGCGCUGCUCAUUUUAAUAGAACAGCCUCCUGAAAAGUAGGGGGCCCUGUGGAUGGAGGUCAAAGGAGGGACCAGGCAGAGGGUGGGGAUGUUUCUAGCAGGACUUCUCUGCUGGAGGGAAGGAAGGCUAGUCCCGAGAUGCCCGACUGUCUGUCCUCAUUCUGAGGCUCUGUGACUCUGGUUAAGGAAGCAGGACCUCCCCAGUGUGAGACACUGACCACAGCCCUGCCUCACAGCCGGUCAGUUUCCAUGAGCAGCUAUGUGUCCUCCUGGAGUCAGUGUGGGUUCACGGCAACUCCCGGCUGCCUGCAUUUGCACAGACACCCUCCCUUCUCCCUGUGUUUACUCUCAGAUCAGGGGGCCCUGUCUCUGGAAAAUCUGCCCUGACUCCUUUCCCCCUUUUCCCAGUUAGGCUCGGGGUACCCAUCUCUACCACCUUGCCCGUCACUGUUCUGCCCACCUACCAUAUCCUCCAAACUGUGGGAGGGUCAAAGGCUCAGCUCAUUUUGUGGGUGGAGAGCCAUUGAGAGCACCACCUGAAAUGCAGGAGUACUUUUCCUGGGCUAAAUACAUGGUUUGCUCGCUUCUCCCUGAAUGCAAUGCAGGCCCCCUGCCCCUGCCCCCUGCCCCUGCCCUUUCACGGCCCCUUCCCUGCUCAGGCAGUGAGAAAAAAGAGAGGGACUGACCACAGUGUCCUGACCUGCCUUACCUUAGAACAGAUUUCGUGGAGACUUGUGGCAAUGGCUUUUGCUGGUGUGUCACAUCGAAAUACAUGACAUUUCAAAAUUCGCGUAUCUUUGUCUCUUGCUACGUAAGCAAAAUCUCUGUGCAAACAAAAUUAUCAGCAUGUUAGAAAAGGAAACUUUACCAACACACUCUCUAGUGACGAAUGUUAGCUGAGCAAGGAGCCGGUAUGUCAGUGGUAAACAGAGUAUGCGAGGGCUAAAAACAAAACGUAAACUUCAAUAGCUACCCCAAAAUGGAGGAGCAGUUUCAUGGAUUUAAGAAUUCAUUUCUGGGGCGCUUGGGGGGCUCAGUCGGUUAAGCAUCCGACUUCGGCUCAGGUCAAGAUCUCGCCAUUUGUUGAGUUCGGGCCCCACGUCAGGCUCUGUGCUGACAGAGCCUGGAGCCUGCUUCGGAUUCUGUGUUCCCCUCUCUCUUAAAAAUAAACAUUAAAAAAAAAAAAGUUUUUUAAAGAAUUCAUUUCUGAGUAAAAGAACUACAAUGUUUCCCAAAGUUAGUGUGCUGAACUCCUGGAAACUCUUACAGCCCUUAAUGAAAAACUGAAUUCUUGAUGAACUUUCUCUCUAGUGUAACAACAAAUACCAUGAUUAUAAAAGAGAAAAGGGGCUUGAGAAGAGCAUGAAUGUGCAUGAGCACUAUUAUGACAAACGCAGUGGUACAGCAGAGGCAGAACAAUAGGGGCUGAUGGGUAAACACGUGCACGGAGAAUGCGCUGGACCCACAGCUGCAGGAGAAAGCGGAUGGGCAGUCACGGGCUGGGCUGUGACACAAGGAGACACCACAGAUUGAAAUCCUGUCAAAGGCGUUUGAUUCUGUUAAGCGCGGCUCCCACUCCAGAGCCCGGGGUGACGGCGGCAGCAUGGCACUCUAUAUCGUCAGCCCAGCCACCUCGGUGGGCGUGCAGCUGGUGCUGCGUGUUAGCAUCUGUUCUGCUGAUGAAAAGGAUAUCGGCUGUGGCAAGACCUGGCUUCAAAAGAACCGGGCCGAACAACCAACCGUACAACUAAAUUUCUUACUGUUCGUACUGGAGGACAGUGGUUUAAAGAUCGAAGUGUUUAAGAACAAUACUCGCCCAGAUUUACCCCAUCUGGAUCACAACGCGUUCUUUGUGUUUGUUGCUUAAGCCAGGAUACUGUCUGUAAAUGUAACCAC
rnacentral:lncRNA from 1 species